UAUUUCCUUUUUCAUUAAAGGGAGUUAACUUGUGAAGAGGCUAUUGGUGGAAGUUCCUACAAAACAGCAGCACUAUGGCUCUGUUUAUGAAGUUCUUUAAUUCUUCUUCGACAAGCUUAAUGCUCCGUUUCAUAUUAUCGUUAGUUCUAUCAUUCAGAGCGAAGGCUGUGGUGAAACUACCGCCAAAUAUUACCAUUCCUGCAGUGAUAGCUUUCGGAGAUUCCAUCGUUGACCCGGGCAACAACAACAAGGUUAAAACACUGGUCAAGUGCGAUUUCCCUCCUUACGGUAAAGAUUUUGAGGGAGGGAUCCCAACCGGUCGAUUUUGCAACGGGAAAAUUCCAUCAGAUUUGCUAGUUGAAGAACUGGGUAUUAAGGAGCUUUUACCUGCUUAUUUGGAUCCAAAUCUUAAACCAAGUGACCUAGUUACCGGAGUCUGCUUUGCUUCUGGUGCUUCCGGAUACGAUCCUUUAACGCCAAAAAUAGCGUCGGUGAUAUCAAUGUCCGAACAACUAGACAUGUUCAAAGAAUACAUAGGAAAGCUUAAACAUAUUGUUGGAGAGGACAGAACAAAAUUCAUCCUAGCCAACAGUUUUUUCCUUGUGGUAGCUGGAAGUGACGACAUUGCCAACACCUAUUUUAUCGCUCGCGUUCGACAAUUACAAUAUGAUAUUCCAGCUUACACUGAUCUUAUGCUCCACUCCGCUUCUAAUUUCGUAAAGGAAUUAUAUGGACUUGGAGCACGCAGAAUCGGAGUACUGAGUGCACCACCGAUUGGAUGCGUUCCAUCACAGAGGACUCUAGCUGGAGGUUUCCAAAGAGAGUGUGCAGAAGAAUACAAUUACGCCGCCAAGUUAUUUAACUCAAAAUUAUCAAGGGAACUGGACGCUCUUAAGCAUAACUUGCCCAAUAGUAGGAUCGUUUACAUUGACGUUUACAACCCCCUAAUGGAUAUCAUUGUGAACUACCAACGUCAUGGCUAUAAAGUUGUGGAUAGAGGUUGCUGUGGCACAGGGAAAUUGGAGGUGGCAGUGUUAUGCAACCCUUUGGGUGCCACUUGUCCCGAUGCUUCACAAUAUGUUUUUUGGGAUAGUUAUCAUCCUACCGAAGGAGUAUACAGACAGCUCAUAGUCCAAGUCCUUCAAAAAUAUUUGACUCGAUUCUACUGAUCCAGUUUGAUCACGCAUGGCAUGGCGUUAAUAAAUUAAUUACAACACAUUUCAUCCAAGAUUAUCAAUAUGCAUGUUAUCAUCACUUCUGCUAUCGUUAAGCUACGAGGCAAUGAAACAAUACCAGCAUUGAUUUUGUUCGGGGAUUCGAUAGUUGACACAGGAAGUAACAAUAACCUAAUAACGGGGCUUAAGUGCAAUUUUCCUCCUUAUGGGAGGGAUUUCGAGGGUGGGAUACCAACAGGAAGAUUCAGCAAUGGCAAGGUCCCAGCUGACUUCGUAGCGGAAGAAUUGGGAAUCAAGGAAUAUAUAGCACCAUACACGAGUCCUGCUUUGCAGCCUGGUGAUCUCCUCAGGGGAGUCAACUUCGCUUCUGGUGGCACGGGAUAUGAUCCUUUGACCGCACAACUAGUGUCAGUCAUACCGUUAUCUGAGCAACUAGAGCAAUUCAAAGAAUACAUAGGAAAGCUUAAAGGAAAUUUUGGAGAAGCAAAAACCAACUUCAUCUUGUCCAAAAGUUUAGUACUUGUGGUAUCAAGCAGCAACGACAUUGCCAAUACUUAUUUUGCAACUGGAGUAAGGAAACUGAAUUAUGAUGUUCCCAAUUACACUGAUAUGUUGGUGCAACAAGCCUCUUCUUUCGUUAAGGAAUUAUAUGGAUUGGGGGCAAGGAGAAUAGGAGUGUUUGGUGCACCUCCACUAGGAUGUUUGCCAUUCGUGCGAGCAUUGUUUGGAGGUCUACGAAGACUGUGCUCCGAAGAAAUAAACAUGGCAUCAAAAUUGUUUAACUCUAAACUAUCUUCAGAGCUGCACAAGCUAAACCAAAGUUUGCCUCAAGCCAAGGUGGUGUAUAUCCAUAUUUACGACUCUUUGCUCAAUAUCAUCCAAAACCCAACCAAAUAUGGAUUUGAAGUUGCUGACAAAGGAUGCUGCGGCACAGGGACUGUAGAGGCGGCUUUUCUGUGUAAUAUGUUAGAUCCAACAACCUGCUCAGAUGAUUCUAAAUAUGUGUUUUGGGACAGCUACCAUCCCACACAGAAGACAUACCAGAUUCUUGUUGGUGAAAUCCUCAACAAAUAUACAAGCAACUUCUCUUGAGACAACUCCAACUGAGUUUUUCUUUAUCUUCAAUUUUUAAAGAGAAGUGUCCAAUCGCAAGAGUUUGAAAAGAAAUGUAUUUUGUUUAAUUUUUUAUAAGUGAUAACCACACCUCUAUCAUUGUCAUAAUUUAAAGGUUUAUAUAUGAAUAGAUUUGAUGAGAA